ensembl:lncRNA
GCCGUCCUCCCUGGAUCGUCCCGCACCAGUACGUGGAGCUCGACCUCCAGUCCGCCGCUGGCACCUCCCACAACGAGGUGGCGCCGUAGGCUCCGCCCCCACCUGACCCCGUCCGUGACACGUCUGUUGAUGUCACCAUCGUGUCAUUGACCCACCACAUGACCUCCCGCAGAGGGGAGUUUGAUCCCGUGAGCACGCAGACCAGCAGGGGAGGAGAUUCCGGUUGUAGAGACGACGGGACGGACGAUAAAAUCUGAACUGACGGACCAGAACCUGCAGCGGACAAAAUAACAAGAAUAUAUCGUUUCUUCAAUUCUCUCUCGCUUUGCUCACAAUGAGAACUUGAGUCACAGCACGUUGCUCGUUUGUCAACAGGGAACAAUUAUUGUUGGAAACUCAAUCAAGCCGAGACAUAAAACCACCACAGACAAGGAGACUAAAUAACCACAAAGAGACAAGACAACCAAAAGGAGACACAAGACAAACAAAAAGAGACACAAAAUAACCACAAAUAGACAUUUUGUUUUAUGCCUUCUCUUGACAAUUGUAACUGGUUCCAGUUGGUAAUCGGCUCAUUUUAUCUUGUAUGUUUCGGAGACGACCUGCUGUCUUGAUAUGACGAUGAUCAUCAUCUCCGUUAUAGUCGGCUCCUUCUUCACCAACGUCGACCAGCAGCUGAGUCCCGCCACUGAAAACCACGGAGAAGGAGACGGCGCGUCUGCCGGGCAGAGAGCAAACGCACCAACAUCUGCAGGAGGAAACGCACCGUGAGGACAAAGCGACGCUCACAGAGCAGCUUCUUCAGUUUCUCACCGCAGCAGGAAGAUGAAGCUCAGAGCCGUAUCCAUCCCAAAGGCCUCUAUCUCCAGCCGUUCAAGCUGCCGAGGAGGAAAUACACUGAAAUGAAAGUAGAAGUUUUAAAUUCUUUGGGUUUUUUUAAGUCCUCACAUCUCACUUAAGUUCAAAUAAAUGUCGUUUUUUUAAUCAUAUGUUUUCAUAAUAUUGAAAAACCAGCAUGAGCUUUAACAGACAAUUUUUACCUAAAACAAGAGUCCAUUUAACAUUGUUUGGAUUCUGAUUUAAAGUCAUCGCAAGGAUCGUUUUUAACGUCGAAUUAAAAGUAUUCGUACCUUUUUCUAAUAGUGGUCCUUGGAGCUGCGGCUGCAGUCAGUCUGAAGUCUGAUGAUCUUUGGGUCUGUAAAACAGAAAUAUGAAAACCGUUGAAGCAGAACACCGACAGCCUCCAGAGGAGGGACGCUGCUCUGGGAUCAGAUCGACCGUUGGUUCGCAGCUGGUGACAGAAAAACAGGACAUCUUCUCACUGUGGUUCCAACUGGCGUCCGAGAUAAGAUCCCCACACCAAAGAAACACAAUCGCUACAACACAUAGUGUUGGUCUGUGUAAAACUAGUAUGAUGAGAAUUGUUGUAACAUUCUUCUUUUGGUUUUUUAAUAUUAUUAUAGCAACAUGAAGAUCUUCUUACUGUCGACAUUGUGUUGAAUGAAUCUUUCUGUUGGAUUUCUCUCCAGGGAUUUGAUCCCAAAUACAACUUGACAAUAAGUGUUAAUAUAUAACUAUAUUGUUGAUGUAGUUUUUUAAAGCACUGAUAUUCCACUAUUGUAGAUAUGAUGUACAUGCGUGUUAGUGACGUAAAAAAGAGCAGGUUGUCUCCGGAUGAAACGGCGCCCCCUGUUUGUAACCAUAGGUGGCGGCGGAGUGUCAACAAACAAAAUGGCGUCUCAGCAACACGUGCGCUGUCAUUAUCGGACCGAUGGAGAUGGUUUAAGGACCCUGAAAAAAAAGAGACCCAGCUUCACAUCCCGCUAGCAUCAUUAAAGUUGACAUCGCUGCCCAGCUGCGACGCACACAGGACCGCGACAGUGAAAGUACAACAGACUGAAGAUCCAUCCGACUCGGAUGAAACCGCAUGGCGUCGUUUCUUCUUCUUCUACUCUCCUCCCCGGGUCACGGGGUCACGGCGCAGUAAUAAACUGCCGAGUCGCUCCAUGUGGCGUCGAGCAGCAGCAGCGAGCCGUCGGCUCCAGCGGAGACCUUCCCCGGGCCCACGGCGGCGCCGUACUUCACGUCGGAGGCGUUUGUGGACCUGAAGGCCAGCAGCAGCUCCGGGCGGCGUCCUGCCGCUGUCCGGUACCAGCUGAGGGUGGAGGAGGCGUUGGUGGAGGAGGCGUUGGUGGAGGCGUCCAGCAGGGGGCACCGCAGGGCGGCGUCCUCCCCGACCCUCACCCGCACGGGGGAGGCUGGCAACGCGGCGGCGGCGUGCGGCUCCCACCGGAAACCUGAGACACGUGUUUAUUUAUAAUCGUUUUCAUCCACACAGACAGAAUCAAUAUAACUAAAGUAGGUUGUAGUAGAACUAGUUCUGAGAAGAAAAAAAAAAUGCUUUUGAUUCCAAACAGUAAGAAAUUACAUUUGAAACAAAAGUAAUAAUAUAGCUUUUCAAGUUAAAACGAGAUGGAAAGUUGAUUUAAUUUCGUGCCGCUAAGUGGUGACUGACCAAUAGUUGCACCUCUGAAUAUUUGUUCCUCCAUUAAUCCUGAAUAUUUAAACAUGUAAAGUAUCGUUCAGGCGCUGCAUUUCUAAUCCUUCUUAAAGGAAGCUUUAAUUUGAAGGAACGUUCGGCAUAAAAUCCCUUCAAUUUGCCCAAAAUGAGUCUUCUACCUGUCAACAGUUGAUGCGUUUAGUCACCAGAUUAUGAAUCAGUUGCCUGAAGAUUAUAUUUCAAUAUCAAUUUAAGCAUAAAACUAAAUAUGUGUAUGCAGAGUUUAGACAUUAAUAAUAUAAACAAAACAACUCACUGCUGAAAGAGAGGAUCAGACCAACCAGCAGAGACUCCAUCACUGAGGAAGCUGCUAACUGAAAGACUUCAAUGACAAAGAUGUCCUCCGGUGGUGGAGACACUGAGACAAGAGCCGAUCACACAUCAGUCCCGCUCUGUUAUUGAUCCACACCAACAGCUACUUCCUGUUUACUUCCUGGUGUUGCAGUGAUGGUUGAGCGUGUGGGUCUAAAUCACCAGGGGGGUAAAUGUGACCAUGGAACACCUGCAGGAAGUUUAAGUAACCGCUUGUCUUUUAUAGAUGAGAAUAUUUUCGUUGUAAGAUUGAACUAGUUUAUAAUCCCAAACAGAUUUAAUAAUUAGUUCAAACUUUAGCUAUCAACUCGUUUAUGUCAGCAGAAAAUUAAAACCAUAAAUGAGUGCAGUCGGUAAAUAUAUGAAUUGAAUAUUAUAUUAGGAAUGUGGCAGGUAAAAGUACCCGUGCUACCCAACCAAACCCUGCCGGUGCCUUGGGGAGGAUUUACAGUGGGCAGACUGACCCGUAAACAGGCGUCAGAAAACACUUCCAAGGUUCUAGAACCUCGGGGACGGUCUCAUCUGAACCGCUAUAUUAAUAAUGUUAAUAUUAUUGUUACGAUCAUUAUAAUCACAUUAUUAUUUAUACUACUUAAACGUAUCAUUAUUUUAUAUUAUUAUCUCUGUUAGUAAUAUUUAUGCAUUAUUGCCUUUUUAUUUAUUAUUGUUAUUUAUGUUGUCAUUGUUGUUAUCAUGACAGUUGGACUCUAGGUGUGGCCCC